rnacentral:rRNA from 1 species
AGACUGCCGGUGACAAACCGGAGGAAGGUGGGGAUGACGUCAAAUCAUCAUGCCCCUUAUGACCUGGGCUACACACGUGCUACAAUGGACGGUACAACGAGUCGCGAAACCGCGAGGUCAAGCUAAUCUCUUAAAGCCGUUCUCAGUUCGGAUUGUAGGCUGCAACUCGCCUACAUGAAGUUGGAAUCGCUAGUAAUCGUGGAUCAGCAUGCCACGGUGAAUACGUU